AAAGCAAACCACACCAAUUCUAGCAGAAGAGAAAUAACCAAAAUCAGAGCUGAACUGAAUAAAACUGAGAUGUGAAAAUCCA